CGCAUGCGCUGAGGCAGCAGCUCGUCGCCGCGCCGAUGGGAACCACGUGAAACGCACCGAACAGUGCGAGGGACCAAAUAUUCGGUGAUCCUGGCGUCGCUGCCAUGACGUGUCGGACCACACCGGCCGGUUUCUGGAACAUUAAAGCGCCGGCUUGUCUCCGGCACUUCAUGGCCCAGCCACCCGUCAUUGAUGAGCACGGAAUGAAACGACGUAGUUCUUGCAGUGCCCGAGCCGAGGAAUGCUAAGUGCGCCUUCUCGCGUCAGGCAAUGGCGAGGUCUGAAAAAUCUUGUCUGAUGACCGGCGUACAGGUAACGGCGCACAACGCUUUCGGCCUUACGUGUUCUUAGCCAAUACAGUUUAUACAGUUUAGACAAGGACCGAUGUUUUUCAGCGCGUCUGUUCGCUUUGGCAUUGUGAUACUGCCCAACACGAAGUGCGACGUUCAUUGUGCUCUUCGGAUGUGGUGUGUUCACGUUCCACGCAUAGAGUGGUUGACUAGACCUGUAGUGAAGUUUCUUUUUGUCCCAAAGGAAGUAAGACGGCACUUGAAAUCGGAUGAGGGAGCUUCACGCCAGAAUUUCGACGUGGCCAGCCAUUCGAUGGUGUUGGCAGGCUGGUUUCAUGCGGUGCGCUGUGGCAGUCGUGAAGAAUCUGGAGUUCAUCUGAGGGCCUCUGGAGUGUCUGUGCAGGUGGCAGCAGUAUCCUUUCGGUGCCCAUCAUGGAGUGUAAUGACUUCUUCGAUGCCAAUAUUGUGACGCAGGUCCCCCGAUGUCGAGUGUGCCAGUCGUGUGUCGAGAAAUUUCUAAGAAUUAUUAUGAGCCACGGAGUUUUCUGCAAUCAUCACUAGAGGGAACUCUGGUGCCGCCAUCGUUCAACGACCACGGGAAUUGUGUUCCCACCGGAGAAUCUUCAAUAUUUCAGUAUCGACGCGGAUGACCGGAUGGCCGGACGAAGUGCGCAUCCUGCCUAAGAUACUGCAGCGCUUCACACGUGCAAAUACGAGCACCUCGGAUUUGCCAAUGCAAUGCCUGCAGUGCUCUCUUCGUGAAACAACAUGACGGCAGGCGGCCUGGCAUCUAUAUAACUCCGGAGAAGCCUGGUGGGGGGGAGCCCUCACUUCGAAACAGAGAGUUGCUCGUUUUUUCUCAAUUCUACAGCUUCGCCGCUAACAAACUUUCGCUCGUUGCCGCACCCACCCGCCUUAGCCCCUCUUCCCUUUAGCAGAACCCUACCUGUAUAUACUGUGACGAAGAAAGCAUACAGUGCCUUGAAAAAGACAAUUCUAAUUGUGGAAACGUUGGCUCCCGCUUUCGCCUUGUUCUCGUUCUGCUCACAUGCUAGUUUACUUAUUGAUUUAAGAGUAGGAAUGUGCAAAGUGUCCGUGCUUGCACUUUUUGAACCAGUUGUGGUGUGUAGUAGCCCUAAAUUUAUACCUAGAUGUGUCAGUGUCAUGGAAAUCAUCGGGGCGGAUAUCAAAGCUCUGAUUACACCUUUCGUAUGUGUGUACACGUUGGAGCGGAUUCAGCUUCUUGGUGUUAGUGUAGAGGAAGCAUUCUAUGUAUCAUUUCUUCUUCAGUUUUAUCUGUUCAUAAAUGCGGCUUCAGUCAUUGUUUAAUGUAAGUGGCCGUUAGCGAUGUCUUUUUGUGAGUUUUGGAAUCACAAACGUUGCUACUCCUGCAGACACACCGAUGGCAGAAAUAAAGAAAAAUGAAUACAGAUUUCCUUCUGAACUUCUAUACGUAGUGGAGACCACAUUAGGCCUUAACUCCUUCUGCUCUUGCAUCCUUCCUAUUCUCGUCCAUUCUAAAAUAAGGCUACCAGGAACAGUGGCCAUAAACAGCAAAAUAACACAUUUAGCUCAAAGCAUUUGAUGUCAGGAAAGCGGUUAUUGCUCCACCCCCCAAGCCAUUCGCAGAAGCUGUAGUCGGGUCUAGGUUGAAGAUGACACAGCUGUCGAAAGCGUCCCUGAAGAUUUUGUGACGCUGGACGCCGAAGCAACGCUGGAUGCUGAACCAAUACCCACAACACGGAGGCUUCCUUGUGCUUUGACGAAGUUCAAGAAGAUGUCCUGCAGGGUGUUUUCUGCAACGAGGACAUGUUCGAGGGGGAAGUUUUGUUGGAGUUUCCCC